GGUUGCUUCAGUGAACAUUCAACGCUGUCGGUGAGUUUGGAAUUAAAAUCAAAACCAUCGACCGUUGAUUGUACCCUAUGGCCAACC
ensembl:miRNA microRNA 181a-1